rnacentral:tRNA from 1 species
UUCAGGAUAACUCAAUUGGUGGAGUAGAGGAUUGAAAAUCCCCAUGCUACCAGUUCAAAUUUGGUCCCUGGCA